rnacentral:rRNA from 1 species
AACGAACGCUGGCGGCAUGCCUAACACAUGCAAGUCGAACGGAUCCUUCGGGAUUAGUGGCGGACGGGUGAGUAACGCGUGGGAACAUACCCUUUGGUACGGAAUAGCCUCGGGAAACUGGGAGUAAUACCGUAUGUGGUCGAGAGACGAAAGAUUUAUCGCCAAAGGAUUGGCCCGCGUUGGAUUAGGUAGUUGGUGGGGUAAUGGCCUACCAAGCCAACGAUCCAUAGCUGGUUUGAAAGGAUGAUCAGCCACACGGGGACUUGGACUCGGCCAGGACCCCAAGGGGAGGAGGCAGUGGGGAUUUUUAGACAAGGGGGAAACCCUGAUCUAGCCAUGCCGCGUGAUCGAUGAAGGCCUUAGGGUUGUAAAGAUCUUUCAGGUGGGAAGAUAAUGACUGUACCACCAGAAGAAGCCCCGGCUAACUCCGUGCCAGCCGCCGCCGUAA